rnacentral:rRNA from 1 species
GAUGAACGCUGGCGGCGUGCUUAACACAUGCAAGUCGAACGGUGAAGGCGGAGCUUGCUCUGCUGGAUCAGUGGCGAACGGGUGAGUAACACGUGAGCAAUCUGCCCCUGACUCUGGGAUAAGCGCUGGAAACGGCGUCUAAUACUGGAUACGAGCUGCGAAGGCAUCUUCAGCAGCUGGAAAGAAUUUCGGUCAGGGAUGAGCUCGCGGCCUAUCAGCUUGUUGGUGAGGUAAUGGCUCAUCAAGGCGUCGACGGGUAGCCGGCCUGAGAGGGUGACCGGCCACACUGGGACUGAGACACGGCCCAGACUCCUACGGGAGGCAGCAGUGGGGAAUAUUGCACAAUGGGCGAAAGCCUGAUGCAGCAACGCCGCGUGAGGGACGACGGCCUUCGGGUUGUAAACCUCUUUUAGCAGGGAAGAAGCGAAAGUGACGGUACCUGCAGAAAAAGCGCCGGCUAACUACGUG